UUGAAAGUGAAUCAAGUAGUGCAU
rnacentral:siRNA from 1 species